rfam:Aedes aegypti strain Liverpool supercont1.1258 genomic scaffold, whole genome shotgun sequence.
CCUCUCUUGGCGUAGUGGUUAACGCGCCCCAACUAGAGAUCGGGGAGUCGUGAGUUCGAUUCUCACUGAGAAGA